AGCUGGAAGGGGCCUUGGAAAACAUUCCCAAGCAAGCAUCUCAGACCCAGGCAUGCCUCUCUCCCCCGGAAACCGGGCUGCGUCUAGGCAGAGGCAAGGCUGGGGACUGGUGAGGGCCGGGUGUGCGUCUUCUGAGCACAGAUGCAACAGGGGAGCAUUUGUAAGGUUCUAACAGGUGAUCCUUGUGGCCACGACCAGGAAGCACUGGCCUGGGCCACUCACUACAGACACCAGGAAGAGAAGCCCACAAGGGCCCUCUGCAUGAACACAAGCUUCUCAAAGCAAGCUGAGCAAUCUCCCCAGCAAUCCUCAGAGCCGGAUUUUGCACAACUGGGGGUGAGUGUGCUAUUUCUUUAACCCUCUGAAAGCCCAACAGAAAAACUGUCACAGGCGCCCUGAGGACGUUUCCUGAGAACCAAGUCCUCUCUGAUGAGGUGAAGAAAACUCCACGGAAGAUUCCAAGCGAGUCUUUGCCUCCAUCUAAUGAGCACACAUACUUUCCAAGGCCCUCCUGUUCCCGGAAACGUUGCCAUCUGCAAAGAUGGCAGGCCUUGACAGGCCCUAACUUCAUGGUCAUGGCACAAAACCCACAGAGUCAACCACCACGGUGCAUCCUCUUGGACCAGCAGUUCCUGGGGGACUUGGGGACAGUGAGAAACAAGGAAGAUGCAGGAAGUGUUGAUCACAAGGGGGGUUGAGUGGGGUCGGUGAUGACAUUUUACUAGCUCCCCACAUCCUGUGAAGGUGAUCUCUUCUGAGAAAAAACAUCCGCUAACAAGGACUUCAUCUUCAA